CUGCUAGGCUAAGUGGAAGGUGUUUUAUUAUGAUCUUCAUUUUAUCAUUAUUAGAUC
rfam:Otolemur garnettii contig165215, whole genome shotgun sequence.